rnacentral:lncRNA from 1 species
GUUGUAGGCAUACCCAGGUCACACAGGCUGUGUGACCAAGGAUAAGUGAGCGGCCACUGGUUAAGCGUGACUGCCACCCUCCUCCCUUCCAGGAGCAAGAGCUGUUUAUCCUGUUUUAUCCAAUGCACAGAAGCGAUGAAAAUAAGCACCCUAUCAAUAAUAAAUGCAGCAGGAAACAGGAGCAAACAAGUCAGGGGAGGAUGAGGUGGACGAUCUAUCGUAUACUCUGGGAAAUACAAAGAUGAACUUAAGAUUGCAGGACUGUCUUGGAAGAAGCUGCCGGAUCUGGUUGCUAAUCUGCUGUCAUUUGGCUGUAGAAAUGGUUCUGACAUGGGGAAGUCUGUGA